AUUGAACGCUGGCGGCAGGCCUAACACAUGCAAGUCGAGCGAGAAAGCACUUCGGUGCGAGUACAGCGGCGGACGGGUGAGUAACGCGUAGGAAUCUACCCAGUAGUGGGGGACAACUUGGGGAAACCCAAGCUAAUACCGCAUACGCCCCAAGGGGGAAAGCGGGGGAUCUUCGGACCUCGCGCUAUUGGAUGAGCCUGCGUAGGAUUAGCUAGUUGGUGAGGUAAAGGCUCACCAAGGCGACGAUCCUUAGCUGGUCUGAGAGGAUGAUCAGCCACACUGGAACUGAGACACGGUCCAGACUCCUACGGGAGGCAGCAGUGGGGAAUAUUGCGCAAUGGGGGCAACCCUGACGCAGCCAUGCCGCGUGUGUGAAGAAGGCCUUAGGGUUGUAAAGCACUUUCAAUUGGGAAGGGAAGUUUGUCGUUAAU
rnacentral:rRNA from 1 species